rfam:Aedes albopictus isolate Foshan contig134494, whole genome shotgun sequence.
UAGCCAAGUGGUUAAGGCUAUGGAUUGCCAAUCCGGAGACGGCGGGUUCGAUUCCCGU